rnacentral:tRNA from 1 species
UGGGCUGUAGCUCAGUGAUAGAGCACUUGCCUAGCACGUAUGAGGCACUGGGUUUGAUCCUCAGCACUGCAU